rnacentral:rRNA from 1 species
GACGAACGCUGGCGGCGUGCUUAACACAUGCAAGUCGAGCGGUAAGGCCCUUUCGGGGGUACACGAGCGGCGAACGGGUGAGUAACACGUGGGUGACCUGCCCUUAGCUCUGGGAUAAGCCUGGGAAACUGGGUCUAAUACCGGAUAUGACUCCAUGACGCAUGUUGUGGGGUGGAAAGCCUUGUGCGGCUAGGGAUGGGCCUGCGGCCUAUCAGCUUGUUGGUGGGGUGAUGGCCUACCAAGGCGACGACGGGUAGCCGGCCUGAGAGGGCGACCGGCCACACUGGGACUGAGACACGGCCCAGACUCCUACGGGAGGCAGCAGUGGGGAAUCUUGCGCAAUGGGCGAAAGCCUGACGCAGCGACGCCGCGUGGGGAUGACGGCCUCGGUCGUAACC